UACGUAGGGUGCAAGCGUUGUCCGGAAUUAUUGGGCGUAAAGAGCUCGUAGGCGGUCUGUCGCGUCUGGUGUGAAAAUCCAGGGCUUAACCCUGGACCUGCAUCGGGUACGGGCAGACUAGAGUGCGGUAGGGGAGAUCGGAAUUCCUGGUGUAGCGGUGAAAUGCGCAGAUAUCAGGAGGAACACCGGUGGCGAAGGCGGUUCUCUGGGCAUGUCCUGACGCUGAGGAGCGAAAGUGUGGGGAGCGAACAGG
rnacentral:rRNA from 1 species